CAUGUCUUUUUGUAUAAUGAUUUAAAGUCUGCUCUGCCCAAUGAAUGUUUUAAAUGGCUGCAGUAUAUUGACUGUACAAAGGUAGCAUAAUAAUUAGUCUUUUUAUUGAAGGCUUGAAUGAAUGAGUUGAUGAAAUAUUUACUGUCUCUAUUUUAAAUUGUUAAUUUAAAUUUUAAGUAAAAAUGCUUAGAUUUUUAUAUGGGACGAGAAGACCCUAUAGAAUUUUAUAGAUUAAUUGAGUUUUUUAUAUUUAAUUAAUCUAUUUUGUUGGGAGGAUAUUUAAAUUUAUUUAACUUUAAAAUAUUAGAUCAAUUAUUUUUGUUUAUAAAAGAUAGUUUAUUAAAAAUUUUUAGAUUUAAUUACCUUAGGGAUAACAGCGUAAUAUCUUUGGAGAGAUCAUAUUUAUAAAGAUGAUUACGACCUCGAUGUUGAAUUAAGGUAUAAUUUAAAUGCAGGAGUUUAAAUUUUAAGUCUGUUCGACUUUUAA
rnacentral:rRNA from 1 species